rnacentral:rRNA from 1 species
CCUACGGGAGGCAGCAGUAGGGAAUCUUCCACAAUGGACGAAAGGCUGAUGGAGCAACGCCGCGUGAGUGAAGAAGGGUUUCGGCUUGUAAAGCUCUGUUGGUAGGGAAGAAAGAUAGAGGUAGUAACUGGCCGUUAUUUGACGGUAAUUACUUAGAAAGUCACGGCUAACUACGUGCCAGCAGCCGCGGUAAUACGUAGGUGGCAAGCGUUGUCCGGAUUUAUUGGGCGUAAAGCGAGUGCAGGCGGUUCAAUAAGUCUGAUGUGAAAGCCUUCGGCUCAACCGGGGAAUUGCAUCUGAUACUGUUGAUCUUGAGAGCAGAAGAGGAGGGUGGAACUCCAUGUGUAGCGGUGAAAUGCGUAGAUAUAUGGAAGAACACCAGUGGCGAAGGCGGCUCUCUAGUCUGCAACUGACGCUGAGGCUCGAAAGCGUGGGUAGCGAACAGGAUUAGAUACCCUAGUAGUC